ensembl:lncRNA
UUAGCCAUUUUCAGCAGAUAAUUUAUUACUUGGGCUGCUUCUUAUUGGCUGAUUAGAACCUCAGGAAGCCACAGGGGCAGAGAGAUAGCGAGUUUAGUCUGUUGCCUGUGAGUAUAGAAUCACACAUAGCUUGCUGGUUGGAGGGAACAAAGUGAGGAGUUUUGGUUUGUUUUCUGGGUGUUUUUCUCUGUGGUUAGAAAUGAAGAUGUGCAAAACUAUACUUCCUUGUAUUCUAUUAUUGUCAGAUUUAGUGGUCAUGAUGGCAGCGGAGGAGACGAUUGUCCCAGACGUGACGGUGAAUACGGUGGCGCCCGUCACGGUGGUGACCGUCCCAAACACGAUGGGGGAGACGGUGGCGCCCGUCACGGUGGUGACUGUCCCAGAUACGCCAGGGAAGACAGUGGCGCCCGUCACGGAGGCUACCAUCACAGAGGCGACCCUCGCAGACACACCGGGGAAGACGGUGGUGCCUGUCACAGAGGCGACCGUCCUAGGCAUGACGAUGACCAUAGUGCUUGGACAUAAAAAAAUCUCAACUUCAGGGCUGCCAUCAGUAAAAAGCUUCUCAAGUUCUACAAUGAAAAUAAGUAGAGAAUCAACGUUCUUUUUCAAGUCUACUGCUAAACAACUAACUUUGGAGGACAAGAAGUUAGUCAGAUCAACCUCUACCAACCUGACUUUUGGGCCAGAUAAAGAACAGCAAACAUCUGAACUAGAGAUAGGGCUCAGCAUUUUCUUUGGGAUACUCCUUAUUAUUGUCAUCAUUGUUUGUUGCUGUAGGUGGAAAAAGUCAAGAAAAAGCUCAUUUGACUUGAACUCAAUAGAAGCAACUAUUCCCUUAAAUACCAUUGAAACAAAAGAACCAAGCUCAGAUGGGGAGAAGAAAUGAAAGCACUCUCACUUAAUAGCCAUUCAAGAAGAUCUCACAAAAAGAACUAAUAUGGCUGAAUCACCAGAGAAAUUAAAAUGGAUUGAAAUUCAAAGAGAUCCACUGGCACUCUCAAUAGUGUAAACUUCUUUUUAAAUGGCACAUUUUGGAGUGUUCUUGAAUCUAGUCAUAGUAAUAAGCAGAUAUUCAUUGGUGCUGGCUGCUACAAAUCUUUAUUCAUUGCCUGUUACUUUUUGGUUGUGGAAAAAAGCUCGCCUUACUUUAAUAUAGUUAUCUAUGGGCCACAUUCCACCAUUUAGGCACAAAUCUGCAUCAGCAUAUGAGGAACUGGGGGAGGCAUAAUCCCUCUCCCAGCUCUCCAGCAUUCAGAAGAAACAUGCCAUGGCCCUUCCUCUUCCUGCCCCAGCCUGCUUCCUUUAGAGGAUUGUGGCCUUUAGGGUGCACAGCAGGAAGGAGUCACGGAGGCAGGCAGUCUUUGUGCUUCCCUGAGUAUAGGGACUGGGGUCUUUCCGGGCCCUUAUGUGGAGCUCCUAAGAAGUGAGGGGAAAACUAUUUAUGCCUCCUGCUCCCACCAAUUCAUCCGUCCAAAAGCCUGUGAAAAUCUAGCCCUUAAUUCUUUGUACAUAGCUUGUUUUAUAAUAAAUGACCUAAGUAAAAGUGAGUCUCA